AAAAACUGAAGUGCUGUGAGCGGCGACAAAAAGUAGGGUUUGCGGCAGAGUAGAAAUUUCAACGCUGGCCCUUGGCAGAGUAGAAAUGCAGGUCUGGAUCUAGACUUUGCAGCGCUGGCAUUCUUCAGCGCUGGCGGCAACGUCAAAGUAGAAAUGCAGCGCUGGCAUUUUUCAGCGCUGGUGGCAAUGUAAGAGUGGAAUUGCAGCGCUGCCAGCAAUGUAAGAGUGGAAUUGCAGCGCUGAAAACAAAAACAUUAACACCCAGAAUCAAAGCAACCGAACAAGCAACCAAAAACAAGAAAAAAAAAUGGAAAGCAAAGAACAAGAAAAACAAAAAUACUACGCCAAAAUUUGACUCAACCUAAACACUACGCUAGAUUGACUCGCAAUAGAACGAGAUCUAUUGUAACGUGUAAGCUAACCCAAGUCGUCUAUCAAGGAAGAUCUUAAAGGGAUUUUAAUUAUAU
rnacentral:lncRNA from 1 species